rnacentral:lncRNA from 1 species
CCACCCCCAACCCCACCACUCUUUUUUUCUAUAUUUAGUCGACUCUCCUCUUCACCAUCCAAUUUAUCGUAGACUUCUCAUCUUACAACUUUCCUACUUCGCCUUUUUUGCUUCUUCCCUCUUCACUUCACAUAAUCUUAACUUUCUUGAUACAUCCAGCAAAUUUCAUCUUUUGGGCCUUUUUGAUAAAUCAACAAAGGUUAGUUCUUGGAUUUAAUCUUUUCUCUUCUUGGUUACUUUGCAAAUUGUUGUGUGUUAUGAAUUGCUUAAGUUAGCUUUGUUGGUUGGUGGAUUUUGUUUUUCUAGUUUUCCAUGUUAGAGAUCAGAUUUGCUAGAUACAGUUGACAUUGACUAAUUUGAAAAUCAAAUGCUGAAACUAUCUGUAUUUCAUGGAAAAGCUUUGUUCUUUAUAUUAUAAUCUAUUGUGGAAAAUAAGGGUUGGAGAGCGACAAAUUAGAAGCUAUUGAGGUGAUUUAAUUUAAUCUUAGCCAUUUUGAGUUAUUGUAUUGUCAUGGGUUGGCUAAUCAUUCAACUCUAUCUAGGGUCAAGUUAAUGGACAAGCUACCAAUUUAUUCGUAUUUCUUUGUUGUUAUGUUCUAUGUUGUUCUUGGCUUUUGCCUUCUAUCUUUAAGCUUUGAUCUUCUUAAAAUGUGAUGUGAUGUGAUGCGAUGUUCUACUAGUUGGCCUGCUGAAUAGGAAAAUUUGGCUAUCCAAUAGCUUUGAACUUAAAUGGAGAAAUAGGAGCAGUGCGGAUUCAUAUAGCCGCUUGCUUAGGAUUGAGGAUUGUUACCUUCUGGUCCAUUCAGGAAUACUUCUGGAUUAUUAUGUACUCUGAAACAAAUGGACCAUAUAUGAUAAAAAAGGUCUCCUAACUAUUUAUAAUUGAUGUUUUUCCCAUCAACAAUCUAGGGUAAGCUAAGGAGGAGCGGUUUUCACCCUUUUCUAUAUUUUUCCACUGUGAUUCUUUUACUUGAAAUGACACUUGUUUUUGCUACCUGAUUAUUCUCAACUUUACCAUUCCCAUUGUCGAGUUCCCUCCCUGGAGAAAAUAAAGAAACUGUAGGAUUUCGUUAUUAACUAGCUCCUAGGUUUUCCCGAGCUGCCUUACUUGUGUAAGCAUUUUAGGGUUGGUCCUGGCAUAAUGGAGUUUCUUAAGCAUUUUUUUCACAUCACAAAGACAUUUCAUUUCCUGUAAAAGAGUAGCAUGUGUUGUUCUUGGCCUGCAGAAGUUCUUAACAAAUAGCAGUACAUUAAAUUUUUGGUUAUGUUGACUUGUUUUCAGGCAAAAAUGAUGUAUGGGCAAACAAUAGCUGACUCAGGAGGAG